AUAUAAAAUAAAUUUUUUAUGAUUUAUAAAAAUUUUUUAAAAUUUAUUUUACAUAUAAAUUUUAGUGUAAAUUUUUAAAUAUUUUAAGAAUAUUUAAUUUUAUUAAAUUAGUAAUUAAUAUUAAAAAUUUAAGAAAUUAAGAUUUAGUAAUAUUAAAAUUAAUAACAAAUUUUGUGCCAGCAGUUGCGGUUAUACAAAAGUUAAAUUAAAUUUUAUUAGUAAUAAUUAAUAUAAAAUAAUUUAAUUUAAAUAUUMAAUUAAUAAGUGAAAUUUUAAUUUAAUUAAAAAUUAUAAUAAAAAUUGUAUGAUUUAAUAAAUUUUAAUAUAAACUAGGAUUAGAUACCCUAUUAUUAAAAAUUUAAAUUUAAAAUACUAAAAUAGUAAAUAAUUAUUUAUUUAAACUUAAAUAAUUUGGCGGUAUUUUAGUUCAUUUAGAGGAAUCUGUUUAUUAAUUGAUAAUCCACGAAUAAUUUUACUUARUUUAUAAUUUUGUAUAUCGUUGUUAAAAAAAUAUUUUUAAAUAAAUUUAAUAUUUUAAAAUUUAAAAAGAAAAUUAAAUCAGAUCAAGAUGCAGAUAAUAAUUAAGAAUAUAAUGGAUUACAAUAAAUUUAUUUAUAUGAAUAUUAAAUUGAAAAAUUUAAUUGAAAGUGGAUUUAAAUGUAAUUUUAUUUAAUUUAAUAAAAUGAUUUUAAAUUAAAAUAUGUACAUAUUGCCCGUCGCUUUCAUUAAUAAGUUGAAAUAAGUCGUAACAAAGUAGAGGUACUGGAAAGUGUUUCUAGAAAGAA
rnacentral:ncRNA from 1 species